UUUUAUAUUGAACUAAAAAAAGUCGAAAAAUACUAUUAUUUUAUCCAAUAAAAAACAUCAACAAAUAUUACAUGAAUUACUGCUGCUUAAAGAUGAUAAAAAGAAAAAGAAAACAUAGCAUGAUUACUGGAUACUUCAAAGUACAUUUUAAUGUUGGCUGUCUGGGGGUAAAUUUUUUGGAGAACGACGAACGUGAACAGUAACCAGAGUAGCAUCGACCAAGACCAGUAGUAAAGCAGUCAUCCAUCGCGAAGACACGUUCAAACCACAAGACACUGUCCAGCUCAAGUCAUGAGAUCUAUUGCUUUCGGUUUACGACCAUAUACAUGAUUUGUUAAAUCAAAGUGUAUUGCAAUACCUUAAAGUGUUUUAUUUUAUACCGAAUAUAAUUGUUGACAUCAUAGACAGCAGCUACUGUUAAGUUGACGGUAUUUUGGAAACCAAUCAACUGAACAAUUAUUACCUCUUCGGUUCGCGUCGAUAUUACUUCAUCACCAGAACUUUGUCUACACAGCGUAAGACAAUCAACGACCAUUUGUCACAUCUCGCAGAAGUAAUAAAUAUAAUAUAUAAGUGAUUCAAUAUAUAUUUUUAUAAUUCUAUCUUGUGGUCAG